AUUGAACGCUAGCGGGAUGCUUUACACAUGCAAGUCGAACGGCAGCGCGGACUUCGGUCUGGCGGCGAGUGGCGAACGGGUGAGUAAUGUAUCGGAACGUGCCCAGUAGCGGGGGAUAACUACGCGAAAGCGUAGCUAAUACCGCAUACGCCCUACGGGGGAAAGCAGGGGAUCGUAAGACCUUGCACUAUUGGAGCGGCCGAUAUCGGAUUAGCUAGUUGGUGAGGUAACGGCUCACCAAGGCGACGAUCCGUAGCUGGUUUGAGAGGACGACCAGCCACACUGGGACUGAGACACGGCCCAGACUCCUACGGGAGGCAGCAGUGGGGAAUUUUGGACAAUGGGGGCAACCCUGAUCCAGCCAUCCCGCGUGGGCGAUGAAGGCCUUCGGGUUGUAAAGCACUUUUGGCAGGAAAGAAACGUCGCGGGCUAAUACCCCGUGGAACUGACGGUACCUGCAGAAUAAGCACCGGCUAACUACGUGC
rnacentral:rRNA from 1 species